rnacentral:rRNA from 1 species
UACGUAGGCAGCAAGCGUUGUUCGGAAUUACUGGGCGUAAAGAGUGUGUAGGCGGUGUUCUAAGUCUGUUGUGAAAUCUCCCGGCUUAACUGGGAGGGUGCGGCGGAAACUGGAAUGCUAGAGGAUGGGAGAGGUAAGCGGAAUUCCUGGUGUAGCGGUGAAAUGCGUAGAUAUCAGGAGGAACACCAAUGGCGAAGGCAGCUCGCUGGGACGGUACUGACGCUGAGGCGCGAAAGCGUGGGGAGCAAACAGG